rfam:Brassica oleracea var. oleracea cultivar TO1000 chromosome C3, whole genome shotgun sequence
GGAAUAUAAGAACUUGUCUCUUAACUUUUAACUGAAAAAUGUAAGAACCGGUUCUUAAAUAAGAGUUUUAAGAGCCGGUUCUUAACUUUUUUAGUUAAAAGUUAAGAGACGGGUUAUUAUAUUCC